rnacentral:rRNA from 1 species
CGGACGGGGGAGUAAUGUCUGGGAAACUGCCCGAUGGAGGGGGAUAACUACUGGAAACGGUAGCUAAUACCGCAUAACGUCGCAAGACCAAAGAGGGGACCUUCGGGCCUCUUGCCAUCGGAUGUGCCCAGAUGGGAUUAGCUAGUAGGUGGGGUAACGGCUCACCUAGGCGACGAUCCCUAGCUGGUCUGAGAGGAUGACCAGCCACACUGGAACUGAGACACGGUCCAG